CCUGUGAACCCCGCCAGGUCCGGAAGGACGCAACGGUAAGCAGGCCAGUCUGGGUGCCGCAGGAUCACCUGGCCCC
rnacentral:SRP_RNA from 1 species